rnacentral:lncRNA from 1 species
UUAUACAGACUCAUACUGACUCUGUAAACCAAACCGGGUGAUCUAUAUCCAUGUGAACGAUGAAAGACGGCUGCUUCCUAACACUGCGUGCUAUUCUAUCCGCCUUUGUAUUUUGCGUCCGUGGUACAUAGAUAAUCUCUGAUAGGGUGAAACUCUCUUUCAGGUUCUUGACAUCUUCCAAAUAAUUUGCAAAAGCUGGCCAUUCUUCUGGUUCAGAAACCAUCU